UUUCCGUAGGUGAACCUGCGGAAGGAUCAUUAAAAAUGAAGCCGGGAAACCGGUCCUUCUAACCCUUGAUUAUCUUAAUUUGUUGCUUUGGUGGGCCGCGCAAGCACCGGCUUCGGCUGGAUCGUGCCCGCCAGAGGACACAACUCUGUAUCAAAUGUCGUCUGAGUACUAUAAAAUAGUUAGAACUUUCAACAACGGAUCUCUUGGUUCUG
rnacentral:misc_RNA from 1 species